rnacentral:rRNA from 1 species
GGGCCCUACGGGACGCAGCAGUAGGGAAUCUUCCACAAUGGGCGAAAGUCUGCUGGAGCAACGCCGCGUGGGUGAAGAAGGUCUUCGGAUCGUAAAACCCUGUUGUUAGAGAAGAAAGUGCGUGAGAGUAACUGUUCACAUUUCGACGGUAUCUAACCAGAAAGCCACGGCUAACUACGUGCCAGCAGCCGCGGUAAUACGUAGGUGGCAAGCGUUAUCCGGAUUUAUUGGGCGUAAAGGGAAGGCAGGCGGUCUUUUAAGUCUGAUGUGAA